rnacentral:rRNA from 1 species
UACGUAGGGACCGAGCGUUGUCCGGAUUCAUUGGGCGUAAAGAGCUCGUAGGCGGCCACUCAAGUCGAAUGUGAAACCUCGAGGCUCAACCUCGAGCCUGCAUUCGAUACUGGGCGGCUAGAGUCUGGUAGGGGGAUCUGGAAUUCCUGGUGUAGCGGUGGAAUGCGCAGAUAUCAGGAGGAACACCGGUGGCGAAGGCGGGAUCCUGGGCCAGUACUGACGCUGAGGAGCGAAAGCGUAGGGAGCAAACAGG